CCCCCCGCCGGACACCCGUCCCUGCUGCCCCGGCAUCUCCCCCGUUCCUCUGCCCCCAGCUCUCACCCUUUCUGCUCAGGCCUUUUCUGCCGUGCCCACAUCCCGCCUUUCCCACCUUCCCCAUCCAUUGCUCCCUCCUCCUCUGCCCUCACCCAACGCUGCCUCUUCACCGUCGCUUUAAAGGUCCCCUUCUCUUGCAGCCCUCGGUCAUACAACGCUAAUCAUCAUCAUCAUCAUCAUCAUCAUCAUCAUCACCGCCUUUGUUUCUCUCAUUGCCUCCUGCCUUUCCCAUCCCGCCCUUCCAUAGGUUUGCUGGUGCUGAGGAGAUGUCAUUUGUUCUCUUUGAUUCUCUGCUGGCCAAAUCCUGCCCCGAGUCCUUCCUGCUGCACCCACUACUGACCUCCUCCUUGCUUCUGCGGGCAGGUACUGCUCCUUGGGCACGAGCUCCCUUCCGAGAGCCUUCCAGCCCUCUCUGCAGCAUCCGGCUCACACAUCCUGAAACCCACCCCACUGCAGGAGGCUGAAACACAAAGUGACGUUCUCAAAGCUCCAGCUGACCAGAGAUGCCAUGCAAGAACCUCUCAGGGCAGGGUUACUGCCUUCUUUCGCAGCUCUUUAUGAAGUUGGUCAGGAUUUGUAUUUUCCUGUGCACACGUUUGAAGAACAGCCUGGAAAGAGGCAGAGGAAGAUCUCUUGCACAGCUGAACACGACUGUGAGGAGAGGCAUGAGGGAACUGACACGUGAAAGUGAGAGCAGUAAGACACAAAACCAGAUGGGCAGAUGGAGCUGCCUGAGCCAACGAUUCAAGCACUCUGGGUUUUGUUUGUGUUGGACAGAACUGUCCUGAGACACAAGCACAAGUGGGUUUCACACCAGGCCUUCAAAAUGGUUGGGGCUUGGAGCACUGCAAAUGGCAGUGAUGGCACACCAUGGAUGUCACAGCUGGGGCAUCUGGAACACAAAGCAAGGAGAUGCAAACCCACGGAUGUGUACAGAGCAGCCCCUCAGCAAACACCAGUGACCACGGUUCCCUCACUCCUGGUGCAGAUGUCCCCAUUUACUUCAGCUGAGGAAUGGUUCUAUGCGUUUACUUUUUAUGAUCUUCAUUUGCUGUGUCUUCAUCUGGUGUGUUUAUGUGGCUGGUGCUUGGUUUUCAUUAUUUUUAACUGCAUUUCAGAUCAUUUGCUCUAUGGUUUUGUUCACAUUCUCCUUUUCCACGAAAUUCUAAUAAAACACUUGGCUACAGAUUUCCCAAAUUGAAUACUGAUGUUUAGUGCAGCUAAUUAUGCAGCAGGGUUCAAAGUGAGUUCUAUAAUGUAACAAUUUACAUAUUCCUGAAAACAAUGGACACAAACUUACAAAUUAUUGCUACAAGCUAGUUUCACAUUCUUCUGGAAUUUCCUUUAGAAAUACAUAUGUUUAGUAUUCUCACACAUAUGAAAAGCAGUAAAUACUGCAUUGCUGGCACCAUUAUAAUAUUUACAGUGAAAAAAUAAAACGCACUCUGAUGUGUCUCAGACCUAAAGGGACAUGAAAAAAAAAAUGCCAGUGUGUUUCCUCCAAGAUCUUGGCACGCUUCACAAAAACCCUUCCCAAAUUCAACCACUCAACAUCCAUCACUAUAAGCCAAUGAUACACAAAGAUCAUUUUACAACAAUGCUUUCGCCGUGGUUGCAACAACAUUACACAUUUAGUGUUUCAGCAUCACCAGCGUUCUGGCAUGAUCAGGUUAAUCAUAACUUUAUUGUUUAAGUCCUGAAUAAAGUAGGUAUUGUUUGUUUUCUAAAUGGACCAGAUUACAGGCAGCCAACCCUGUCAGCAGACCAGCCCAGCCUUCUCAGGAAGAUCCAGACUAAACUGACUUUUAGAAAGGCUGCUGUAACCCAGAACUCUGUUUAUAAAAGCAAGAGCUAAUAACUCAGUAGCUGGGCCUGUUACUGUGAUCCUUUGCGCCAGGCUGACUUGCAGAGACAAUAAUUCUUGCUGCUCCUAAUGCAAGCAAUAUGUAUGCCAACAUUUGCCCGUGGCUCCACCCCACCCUUUUCUAGUUUAUAUUUUUUAAUUUUAGAAUGCUACUUUACAUCUUCAUCAUGUGGAGUGAUCUGCAUAGAAGUGGAUUCUCCCUCAGUCUAUCGCUAUGCUGACCAGGCACUUUCAUUGCUGUAACACAACAAACUGCAGAGCAUGUUCCAGCAAAGCAUCCCUGCACAGAGCAUUUGCUCUGAGCCUCUGAGGGGGGGUUAGAGUGAGAUUGAGCUGUAAAUACACAUCCCCAGGUCCAAGCACAUGAUUACUUUUCCCUCUUUGUGCAUCUAUCUGUGCUGGAGUGUUUAGUUCCUGCUAUUAUAACUCAGGAGGGAAGCUAAGAGACCUGCCAACAGAAGCAAAGAGUAUCUUCUAAAACCUCAACACAACUGGGACAGUGGCUGAACUCACAGGAUCCAGUAUUUCCAAAUGUCACAUGCAUGGAAAAUUUGAAUUACUUUUCAAGUCUCCUUGGCUUGUACUUUUGUAGUUUUACUUACGACCGCUGCCCCAGCACUAUCUGGUUAAUAAACAUUGUUUAUUAAACUGUUGCAUUCAUGUGUACACACCUGUCUGUUUACUCUCUGGGGUUUCACAGGGGGUUGGCUUGUUUGUGUAUGGACACAUAAAAU